UACGAAGGGGGCUAGCGUUGCUCGGAAUCACUGGGCGUAAAGCGCACGUAGGCGGCUUGUUAAGUCAGGGGUGAAAUCCUGGAGCUCAACUCCAGAACUGCCUUUGAUACUGGCGAUCUCGAGUCCGGGAGAGGUGAGUGGAACUGCGAGUGUAGAGGUGAAAUUCGUAGAUAUUCGCAAGAACACCAGUGGCGAAGGCGGCUCACUGGCCCGGUAUUGACGCUGAGGCGCGAAAGCCAGGGGAGCAAACGGG
rnacentral:rRNA from 1 species